GCCCAGCUCAGAAAUCAGCGCUGAUCAAAUAAAGCACACAUUCCCUUUGGCACUAAAUUUGACUCGGCAGCGUCUGUACAGGGAUCCUGGCAAAACCAGAACAUUCAGCCUUUAGAAUCACUGGGGAUUGGCUCACCGCUGUGUGGAAGCACAACUGUUAUUUCUGAAUGCCAUCCACGUGGCUCAGCCACUGAGAUGAAGCACCAUUCAGAAGAAGCAAAUGUGUGCUCUAUGUUUCACCCAGUCUGAUUUGGCCAAGAUCACACAGAUAGGUUCUACAAAGAAAGCACUAUUGCCAUUAUCAUCGAAAUACAAAUCUACUUUUGGAAGACAAGUGCCUUAUAAAUACACCAAUUGAAAAACAAGCAAAGUGAAUUUAAGCUACGGUCUCACUCUGUCAUCUAGACUGGAGUGCAGUGGCUCCAUCACAGCUCACUGCAGCCUCGACCUCCUGGGAUCAAGUAAUCGUCCUGCCUCAGCCUCCUGAGUAGCUGGGACUACAGGCAUGUGCCACCACACUCAGCUAAUUUUUGUAUGAUUUUAGACGUGGGGUCUCCCUAUGUUGCCCAGGCUAGUCUCAAACAUCUAGUUUCAAGCAAUCCUCCUGCCUCAGCCUCCCAAAGUGCUGGGAUUAUGGGCAAGAGACACUGCACCUGGCCCUUGUCUGUUUUAUAUAGUGGGUUUCUACACAAGAUUGUGUGUAAAUGUGUUUUAUAGCAAAAAAAAUAGUUUGACAAUUAGUAACAUUGACCCAGCUGCUAAUUGACAGUGAAUAUUUCACUUCAGUGACUCUACUUGUUUGUUGACAAAGCUACUACUGAGCAGG
ensembl:lncRNA novel transcript